rnacentral:rRNA from 1 species
AGCUCCACGAGCAUGUACGUAAGUUGUUGCAGUUAAAAAGCUCGUAGUUGAAUCUCAGGCCUGUGUUUAAUGGUCCGCUCGAUACGAGUGCGCACUAUUAGACCGGUCUAUGUCUGGUUUGAUAUCUCUUAGUGCUCUUAACCGGGUGCUCUGAGAUGCCAGAAAGUUUACUCUGAAAAAAUUAGAGUGCUUAAAGCAAGCGGUUUGUGCUUGAAUACUGUUGCAUGGAAUAAUGAAAUAGGACCUCGGAUCCAUUUUGUUGGUUUUCGGAGUCGAGGUAAUGAUAAAGAGGGACAGACGGGGGCAUUCGUAUUGCGCCGUUAGAGGUGAAAUUCUUGGAUCGGCGCAAGACGAACAACUGCGAAAGCAUUUGCCAAGGAUGUUUUCA